GAUGAACGCUAGCUACAGGCUUAACACAUGCAAGUCGAGGGACCGGCGCACGGGUGAGUAACACGUAUCCAACCUGCCCUUUACUCGGGGAUAGCCUUUCGAAAGAAAGAUUAAUACCCGAUGUAAAGGAUGGUGAUGCGUUCCAUUAGGUUGUUGGUGAGGUACCGGCUCACCAAGCCUUCGAUGGAUAGGGGUUCUGAGAGGAAGGUCCCGCACAUUGGAACUGAGGCACGGUCCAAACUGCUACGGGAGGCAGUAGUGAGGAAUAUUGGUCAAUGGGCGUUAGCCUGAACCAGCCAAGUAGCGUGAAGGAUGCAGGCGUAUGGGUGGUAAACUUCUUUUAUAUAAGAAUAUGUAUUAUAUGAAUAAGGAUCGGCUAACUCCGUGCCAGCAGCCGCGGUAAUAC
rnacentral:rRNA from 1 species